UGAAGGGACAACUGCCGUCUGACUGUGGCCCUCUGAAUCCUGCACGAGGAACAAGGACAAUCCCCAGGUCACCGCCCACCCUGAGGACCCGGCCGUCCCCUCCAGAGCACACGGAGGACUCUUUACGUCCAGAAGCCCCGACGUCUCUCCUCUGCUCCCCGGGGAUUCCCCACACCUCCGACUCCUUCCUCUCUUGAUGUCCCUUCUCUCCACACCACCUACUCCAGACCUUUCGGGGUGUCAGCCUUGCCGCCACCCCAGGCUCCCCGCGGUUCCUGCUAGCCUCCUUUCAAGAGGAUCACCAAACCCAACCAAACGUGGAGAGACUAGAAUGCAACAAAGAAAAAUGGGUGGGAGACGGGGAAGGAAGUGCCAAUGGUCCUGCUGCCAGCUCUGCCACGAACCUGCCAGGUGGCCACAGAUAGACUGAGGGCCCCAAAAGCUGCAGAACCUGUGGGCAGGCGCAUGUGGGCACGGGGUGCGUGAGCCAGAAGGAGAGACGGAGCAGGCCGAGUCCUGCUGCCCGCAGCAAGGAGCUGACUAAAGAUUACAAAAUCCAUCCCCACAGUGGAGGACCUGGAAGAUGCACACGAGUCUGGAGAGGUGAAAAAUUCGACUACCCGGAGAUGCAGCAGCCGUUCAGGGUACUUGGAGCCUUUCCCCCAUGUCACAAACCACGUAACUGAAAAAGAGGCCACCAAUGCAAUGCCCCAUUUCCUGCUGUGGGGCAUUUCGGUCUGCUUCAGCUUUUCCCUGUGACAGCACCGUACGUACAGCUCGGACUGCAUUUCCAAGCAGAUUCUGUUGUGGUAAGCAACAUAAGCAAACCAUACCCAGACAUAUCCAUGGGUAGCAUUUGAUCCCUUCCCCCAAGACAAAAGCAAAGAGACAAUACCAACAAAGACAGAUGGUGAUGCUUCAGACCCCAAACCUGGAGGCCCCAUUGCCCUGGGCACCCCAAUAUACUUCCUAACCCACUCCCCCAAAUACGAAGAGCCAACGCCUUCAAA